UAAAGUUAAUAGUUGAAAAGGGAGAAAUCACUACUGAGAUUUCUACUUCACUUUUCAAGUUGGCGUCUGAGUGAUAUCAAUGCAAUUUUUAGAGGUUUUCUCGCAAUUUGUAAUUUGGAUUGGACUAAAACUUCUUGAGUAUAUAGAAGACUUACAUUGACAAUUGCAUGCAAAAUUACACAUCAAGUGGAUGGUCAGAUUGGAUGUAACAGCUUUUU
rnacentral:lncRNA from 1 species